GGGGAGGCGGCGCCACGCAGAUUCCAAGGUAGGCGGGAAAGCCGCGUGCAGAAGCGCCGCCGCCGGCGCCCGUGGUUGAACCCCUUGAACCCUGGACCCUGACCCACACGUGGCCCGUGGAUAAGCCUCCCCUUCUGACCUGCCCCCCCACACACACACUCGGUCGUCAACAGGUAGUCGCUGCACCUGCCGAGUCACCGGAUGAUGCUCGGACCUGGAUUCUGGAGCCACGCCGCCUGAGGCUCCUGAGGGUCACCACACCUGCUCAUUGAAAGCGACGUGCCUGCUGUGCAAGCGAGAACGCAUGCUGCGUUCAAGGUUGUAGGUGCAUGUGGACAGCUUAGGAAAGGCACCCAGAGAAUACAGCGACAGGAACUCAGCCGCGCCAUCCCCAGAGGCACUCUGCUCCGGCUUCCGGAACCUUCUUCCAGAGGUGGAAUGAGGCCGUCCCAACAUUUGUCAGGUGAUGUUUAUUCAUGGCCACGCUGGAUGCUGGUUAGGCUUAUUUCUGCCGGCCCUUCUAGGGUUGUUCCGGAACCAUCUAGGAAUCAGUUGUCCCUGAGCUCCGACCUGACUACUUAAUUGCCUUUACUAAUCUGCAGAGACCAAGCAGGUGUUGGCGCUCACGGACCUGAGGCAGCCGGCCACACUGUCCUGCUACCUGUGCAAGGAGGGAAGCGUCACAGCCAGGAAGAAAGGGACCUGGGCACCACAGGACACUGGGCCCAAGGUGGGCGGGCGGAACCGUGAGGACUCACUCGCCUACGCCUGCAGCUGGCUUUGCAAAGUGCCCAGCUGAGCUCUCCACGAGGACAGGGCCAGCCCAGGUCAGAACGGUCUGCACCUCCUCCGACGCCCAGGUCAUCACCGCCAUCAGGAGAGAGACUAGCCUGGUGGCGUCAGCCCGGUGGCGUCAGCCCGGUGGUGAGGGCUUGUAUCCCAGUCCCACCCAUCACUGCAGCUGGGAGACCUAGGUGACUCUCUUCAUUCAAACCGUAGCGAUGGGCUUGCUCCCUGGCUGUGGAGGUCAGCCUCCAGCGAGGCCCCGGAGACCCUCUGCUCUGUUCUUCACCCGCCCCCCGUGACCCCUUCUCUCAUCAGCCGGACUGGGUCUGCGUAACCAGCAGGAGAUGGCGGAAAUGAUGGCGCGUGAUUCCCAGGCGAGGCUGUCAAAGUCCCUGCGGUUGCCUUGGGCUCUGGAUUGCACAGUCUGGGGAAAGCGAGAUGGCAGCGUGAGAUAACGCCGUGAUGUGCACACAGCCAGGGCAUCCUGACUCUGCAAACGUCUGGCUACAUUCAAGCUGCAGCCACCACGUGCCGCCUGGUCUGUGUCCACUGACCCCAGGGGGCAGGGAGAUGAAGGCAGCCGGCUUGCUUCAUCCCGCACACCAGGCGGGCAGGGAGCUCAAAGAAGACACUCCGUAUGAGGCCUCCCUGACACGGAAGGCACUGUCCAGACGUCAGCGCUGUUUCUGAGACCCGGACAGCGAAGGAUGGAUUCAGGAGCAGAUAAACCUGCUCGGCGUGUGCAGCUCUGGCCUCUGGGUCCUAUUUGUUUCUCCAGGAAGCAGAACAAAACAAAACAAAAUGGAGAGACACCCUCCACAUUGUUUCCAGCUGGGGAGAACCGGGGCAAACGGGCCAAGCUCUUUAUCACGGCGCUUCCGGCCCUUAAGCCCCAACCCCCAACCCCCCCGACGCUGCUGAGGAGCAAGCCAGGUAAACUGGCCACUUGCUAAACGGUAACGCUCUGAGCAGAUAUGAGCUCUUGUGUGGACAGCGGUGCUCGGCUCCGGCUCUGGCGCUCGCUCCUGAGAGGACCCCAGGCUUCCUGACAAUAACAGCAUUGCCACCGUCAGGACAGCUUCCUGAGAGCGUGUGUGGCCUUCCUGCCGUUCUCCGUCUCUCCCGUGGGUGAGCAGCAGGUGAUGGCGUCACUGGUUAUUGUACCGAAAGGUUGUGUUUUUUGCUGCACUGUUACGACUCAGGCAGAAGCGGUAAGAAUGGACUGCAGGGUAGCCACGCCCAGACCCAUUCACUGUGGGCUGGGUGGCCUGCUCAUAGAAACAAUUGGGAAAUUGUCCUGUGGGGACCUCCAGCAGCCUCUGUGGUGGGAUGUUUUGAAUUUAGGGACUUGCGAGCUUUGGAGCCCAGCCUGUCAACUCUGCAUUUUGAUGUUGUGUUGAAAUACAAGAAUGUUUUCCUGAAGUUGGUGGCCAUUCAGGUCGUUUUCUCAAGGACUUACAUCACAGAGAGGGUCAGAGCCUUCAGCAGCAGGAGUGCACAGGACAGGGUCAUCCCCUGCCCAGGACAAGCCUCGAACACGGGUCCUGCUGUCACUGCUCCUUCCUGCUGCUGCAGCUCUGUGUCCAUCUGCUGUCCCCCUGUGGACACUGACCUCCCUGACUGCUUGGGUCACAGCUAACGCCAGGCUGUGGGUUCACCAACCCUUCUUUGGGGGCUUUCCUUUCCUCCAAUGUAAUUCUCUUGAAAAGUAGAUCGCAUCACGGCCUCUCAAGUCCAUCGGCCGUGUACCUUCCGCCACAGGGUUCCUGACAGAGGGACAUCCUGGCUUGUUUUCAUACGUUGGGGUGUCCCUGUCUGCAAGUCCCCUCCAUCCCUCCAUUCUUCUCCCAGCCCUCAACCUGGGAAGCAGUUGGGGGUUAGGGCGUCCAUAUAAGAAUCUGUGUGUUGGGGGCCGGCCGAGUGGUGCUGAUGGUUAAGAGAUGGCUUGGGACGCCAGAGGGCCCUGGUUCG